rnacentral:rRNA from 1 species
AUGUUAGCGCAGUGUCGAAAUGAAGAUGUUAAGCUCACCGCCUGGGAAGUACGGUCGCAAGACUGAAACUUUAAGGAAUUGGCGGGGGAGCACCACAAGGGGUGCGGCGUGCGGUUUAAUCUAACUCAACGCAGAGAACCUUACUAGAAGCGACGGCAGGAUGAAGGUCAACUUGAAGAGUUUACCCGACGAGCCGAGAGGUGGUGCAUGGCCGCCGUCAGCUCGUGCUGUGAAGUGUCCAGUUAAGUCUGGCAACGAGCGAGACCUGUAUCCUCAAUUGCUAACAGCCACAUGUGGGACUGAGCACUUUGAGGAGACUGCCCUGGAAACAGGGAGGAAGGUGCAGGCCACGGUAGGUCUGUAUGCCCCGAAUCUUCUAGGCUACACGCGCGCAACAAUGGUUGGGACAAUGGGAUGCCACUCCGAAAGGAGAAGCUAAACCUCUAAACCCAAUCCAAGUCCAGAUUGAGGCUUGCAACUCAGCCUCAUGACGACGGAAUCCCUAGUAAUCAGAAGUCAUCAUCUUCUGGUGAAUAUGUCCCUGCUCCUUGCACACACCG